rnacentral:rRNA from 1 species
GGGUUGUGAGGUUAAGCGACUAAGCGUACACGGUGGAUGCCCUGGCAGUCAGAGGCGAUGAAGGGCGUGCUAAUCUGCGAUAAGCGCCGGUAAGGUGAUAUGAACCGUUAUAACCGGCGAUACCCGAAUGGGGAAACCCAGUGUGAUUCGUCACACUAUCAUUAACUGAAUCCAUAGGUUAAUGAGGCGAACCGGGGGAACUGAAACAUCUAAGUACCCCGAGGAAAAGAAAUCAACCGAGAUUCCCCCAGUAGCGGCGAGCGAACGGGGAGGAGCCCAGAGCCUGAAUCAGCAUGUGUGUUAGUGGAAGCGUCUGGAAAGGCGCGCGAUACAGGGUGACAGCCCCGUACACAAAAGCGCAUGUGCUGUGAGCUCGAUGAGUAGGGCGGGACACGUGGUAUCCUGUCUGAAUAUGGGGGGACCAUCCUCCAAGGCUAAAUACUCCUGACUGACCGAUAGUGAACCAGUACCGUGAGGGAAAGGCGAAAAGAACCCCGGCGAGGGGAGUGAAAAAGAACCUGAAACCGUGUACGUACAAGCAGUGGGAGCNNNNNNNNNNNNNNNNNNNNNNNNNNNNNNNNNNNNNNNNNNNNNGGGCGUUAAGUUGCAGGGUAUAGACCCGAAACCCGGUGAUCUAGCCAUGGGCAGGUUGAAGGUUGGGUAACACUAACUGGAGGACCGAACCGACUAAUGUUGAAAAAUUAGCGGAUGACCUGUGGCUGGGGGUGAAAGGCCAAUCAAACCGGGAGAUAGCUGGUUCUCCCCGAAAGCUAUUUAGGUAGCGCCUCGUGAAUUCAUCUCCGGGGGUAGAGCACUGUUUCGGCUAGGGGGCCAUCCCGGCUUACCAACCCGAUGCAAACUGCGAAUACCGGAGAAUGUUAUCACGGGAGACACACGGCGGGUGCUAACGUCCGUCGUGAAGAGGGAAACAACCCAGACCGCCAGCUAAGGUCCCAAAGUCAUGGUUAAGUGGGAAACGAUGUGGGAAGGCCCAGACAGCCAGGAUGUUGGCUUAGAAGCAGCCAUCAUUUAAAGAAAGCGUAAUAGCUCACUGGUCGAGUCGGCCUGCGCGGAAGAUGUAACGGGGCUAAACCAUGCACCGAAGCUGCGGCAGCGACACUGUGUGUUGUUGGGUAGGGGAGCGUUCUGUAAGCCUGCGAAGGUGGCCUGUGAGGGUUGCUGGAGGUAUCAGAAGUGCGAAUGCUGACAUAAGUAACGAUAAAGCGGGUGAAAAGCCCGCUCGCCGGAAGACCAAGGGUUCCUGUCCAACGUUAAUCGGGGCAGGGUGAGUCGACCCCUAAGGCGAGGCCGAAAGGCGUAGUCGAUGGGAAACGGGUUAAUAUUCCCGUACUUGGUGUUACUGCGAAGGGGGGACGGAGAAGGCUAUGUUGGCCGGGCGACGGUUGUCCCGGUUUAAGCGUGUAGGUGUGUGUUCCAGGUAAAUCCGGUUCACUUUAACACUGAGGCGUGACGACGAGGCACUACGGUGCUGAAGCAACAAAUGCCCUGCUUCCAGGAAAAGCCUCUAAGCAUCAGGUAACAUCAAAUCGUACCCCAAACCGACACAGGUGGUCAGGUAGAGAAUACCAAGGCGCUUGAGAGAACUCGGGUGAAGGAACUAGGCAAAAUGGUGCCGUAACUUCGGGAGAAGGCACGCUGACACGUAGGUGAAGUGAUUUACUCAUGGAGCUGAAGUCAGUCGAAGAUACCAGCUGGCUGCAACUGUUUAUUAAAAACACAGCACUGUGCAAACACGAAAGUGGACGUAUACGGUGUGACGCCUGCCCGGUGCCGGAAGGUUAAUUGAUGGGGUCAGCGCAAGCGAAGCUCCUGAUCGAAGCCCCGGUAAACGGCGGCCGUAACUAUAACGGUCCUAAGGUAGCGAAAUUCCUUGUCGGGUAAGUUCCGACCUGCACGAAUGGCGUAAUGAUGGCCAGGCUGUCUCCACCCGAGACUCAGUGAAAUUGAACUCGCUGUGAAGAUGCAGUGUACCCGCGGCAAGACGGAAAGACCCCGUGAACCUUUACUAUAGCUUGACACUGAACAUUGAGCCUUGAUGUGUAGGAUAGGUGGGAGGCUUUGAAGUGUGGACGCCAGUCUGCAUGGAGCCGACCUUGAAAUACCACCCUUUAAUGUUUGAUGUUCUAACGUGGACCCGUUACCCGGGUUGCGGACAGUGUCUGGUGGGUAGUUUGACUGGGGCGGUCUCCUCCUAAAGAGUAACGGAGGAGCACGAAGGUUGGCUAAUCCUGGUCGGACAUCAGGAGGUUAGUGCAAUGGCAUAAGCCAGCUUGACUGCGAGCGUGACGGCGCGAGCAGGUGCGAAAGCAGGUCAUAGUGAUCCGGUGGUUCUGAAUGGAAGGGCCAUCGCUCAACGGAUAAAAGGUACUCCGGGGAUAACAGGCUGAUACCGCCCAAGAGUUCAUAUCGACGGCGGUGUUUGGCACCUCGAUGUCGGCUCAUCACAUCCUGGGGCUGAAGUAGGUCCCAAGGGUAUGGCUGUUCGCCAUUUAAAGUGGUACGCGAGCUGGGUUUAGAACGUCGUGAGACAGUUCGGUCCCUAUCUGCCGUGGGCGCUGGAGAACUGAGGGGGGCUGCUCCUAGUACGAGAGGACCGGAGUGGACGCAUCACUGGUGUUCGGGUUGUCAUGCCAAUGGCACUGCCCGGUAGCUAAAUGCGGAAGAGAUAAGUGCUGAAAGCAUCUAAGCACGAAACUUGCCCCGAGAUGAGUUCUCCCUGAGACUUAGAGUCUCCUGAAGGAACGUUGAAGACGACGACGUUGAUAGGCCGGGUGUGUAAGCGCAGCGAUGCGUUGAGCUAACCGGUACUAAUGAACCGUGAGGCUUAACCUUACAACGCCGAAG